GACGAACGCUGGCGGCGUGCUUAACACAUGCAAGUCGAACGGAAAGGCCCUGCUUUUGUGGGGUGCUCGAGUGGCGAACGGGUGAGUAACACGUGAGUAACCUGCCCUUGACUUUGGGAUAACUUCAGGAAACUGGGGCUAAUACCGGAUAGGAGCUCCUGCUGCAUGGUGGGGGUUGGAAAGUUUCGGCGGUUGGGGAUGGACUCGCGGCUUAUCAGCUUGUUGGUGGGGUAGUGGCUUACCAAGGCUUUGACGGGUAGCCGGCCUGAGAGGGUGACCGGCCACAUGGGGACUGAGAUACGGCCCAGACUCCUACGGGAGGCAGCAGUGGGGAAUAUUGCACAAUGGGCGGAAGCCUGAUGCAGCAACGCCGCGUGCGGGAUGACGGCCUUCGGGUUGUAAACCGCUUUCGCCUGUAACGAAGCGUGAGUGACGGUAAUGGGUAAAGAAGCACCGGCUAACUACGUG
rnacentral:rRNA from 1 species